CCCCCCACAAACGCCGCGGCCUCAAACGGCGGCCCGUUUUGGCUCCUGGCAGGGGCGUGAGAGAGGAGGCUCCAGUCAGAGCGGAGACGCUCUUCCAAAGGCCUCUCCCGACCCGCCCACGGAUGGGGCAGUUUGGUAUCUGCGGUCAAUGCCUCGUCUUUCCCUUCUAGACCCUCCUGCCAACCCAACACACAACUUCAGCCCUCAGUUUCCCUCGCCUCAGACAACGGUCGUCCAGGCAGCCCGCUCAGUAGCCGCCGCCCUUCCCGCCCGCGAAGAAAGUGGGGGCAUCCGCCGAAGGUAAGCGCCGUGCAGUGCGUAGGCGCCGCGGCCCGCACAUGCGCAGAGGCCGCCUCCUCGGAGCAAUGGCUUCUCCGGGCCCGCCUGGCCUCCUUUGGCUGGGGGAGAUAACGUUAACGAACCUCCUUGGCGAUCUCACACUGUGAAGUUCUCACACUGCUGGCGCAAGGAUGGCACCAACCCUUUAGAGUUUUGCCCAGAGAGGAGACGAGACUGUCCUGUGACUGGAGAGGCCGGGGGAGAUCUCCUGCCCACCCGGCCUCAGCCCCAGCAUCAUCACAAAAGUGUGCCCUGCGUCUCCGCACCCCCUGGCUGUGUCUUAGGGCCCAGACAUCCGUUUGUUAGAUGCUGGUGGCCACCCACAGGGUGGUAUCUGGCUGAAUUUCUGGGUUGAUCAGGGUCAGGGAAUCUGAGUCCCCAGGAGGCUGGGGACAGAGCUGAAGCCCGGGAUCGGGUGGCAGCCAUGGAAGGUGGAGAGCGGUCAGCGAGGCAGGGUGCGGGGCUGCGGGAGCUUGCGGGACAGAAGGCGCCCGUGAACCGCAGAGACGGUCUGCGGGGGAAGCCACGUGGUGUGCGACCCUGGGCAUUGAGCUGCAGGCCUCCUGGCAAAGACGACUGGAUUCCUGGCCCUGUGAGGUUGGUUUCCCGAGCACUCUGUAAUGGCUGUUUAUAUGAAUUGGGAAAGAGUAAAACUAGAACUGAACCAUGAAGAAGACCAACAAUAACAGAGAGGCACCCCAUUGUCCUGUGAAAAACACUAGACUUGGAAUGAGAAACACGGGUCCCAGGUCUAGUUUCUCCUAUGUCCCUGAAGAACCUUAAUUGGAGAUCAGAUAAAAAACUACUUGGUGAAAUGAUUUCUUGUCACGUUGCUGAAGAACCUAUGAAAAAGGUUGCUAUCUUUGGAGGAACCCAUGGGAAUGAGCUAACUGGAGUAUUUCUGGUUAAGCAUUGGCUAAAGAAUGGUGCUGAAAUUCAGAGAACAGGGCUGGAGGUAAAAUCAUUUAUUACUAACCCAAGAGCAGUGAAGACGUGUACCAGAUAUAUUGACUGUGACCUGCAUCGCAUUUUUGACCUUGAAAAUCUUGGGUAUAGAAGUUGGUCCUCUGCCUCAAGGGGUUCUGAGAGCUGAUAUCUGGGAUCAAAUGAGAACAAUGAUUAAACAUGCUCUUGAUUUUAUACAUCAUUUCAAUGAAGGUAGGAAAAGAAUUUCCUUCCUGUGCCAUUGAGGUCUAUAAAAUUAUGGAGAAAGCAGAUUAUCCCAGGAAUGAAAAUAAAGAAAUUGCUGCUAUCAUCCAUCCUAAUCUGCAGCCUCCUUAUUCCUUGAGACACAAUAAUUAAUAAUUCUACAAUAGCCUCUAUGUGUUCAAGUGAAAGAAGGAGUCAUACUUCUAAAAAUUAAGCUUAGUGAGGAAGGCCUGUCAAAAGCUGAGACAGGCUGAAAGCUAGGCCUCUUGCCCCAGUUAGCCAAUCUGUGGAUUCAAAGGAAAAGCUCUUGAAGAAAAUUUAAAAAUUCUACUCUGGUGAAUACACAAAUGAUAAGAAAGCAAAACAGCCUUAUUGCUGAUAUGGAGACAGUGUUAGUGAUCUGGAUAGAAGACCACAUUAGCCACAACACUUCCUUAAGCCAACGCACGUUCCAGAGCAAGGCCCUAACUCUCUUCAAUUCUGUGAGGGCUGAGAGAGGUGUGGAAGCUGCAGGAAGCUGGCAGACGCUGGUUCAUAAGGUUUAAGGAAAGAAGCUGGCUCCAAACCCUGCAAGUGGAAAGUGAGGCAGUGAGUUGCUGAUGUGGAAGCUGAGACCGGUUAUCCAGAAGGUGUGGCUAAAAUCAUUGAUGAAGCUUCCACACCUCUCUCAGCCCUCACAGAAUUGAAGAGAGUUAGGGCCUUGCUCUGGAACGUGCGUUGGCUUAAGGAAGUGUUGUGGCUAAUGUGAUCUUCUAUCCAGAUCACUAACAGUCUCCAUAUCAGCAAUAAGGCUGUUUUGCUUUCUUAUCAUUUGUGUAUUCACUAGAGUAGAAUUUUUACUAGACAACAGACUUUCAGUGUAAUUGAAACUGCCUUCUAUUGGAAGAUGCCAUCUAGAACGUUCCUAGAUAGAGAGGAGAAUUGAAUGACUGGCUUCAAAGCAUCAAAGGACAGGAUGACUCUCUUGUCAAGAGCUAAUAUAGCUGGUAACUUUCAGUUAAAGCCAAUGCUCAUUAACCAUGUCAAAAAUCCCAGGACUCUGAAGUUGAUGCUAAAUCUGCUCUGCCUGAGCUCUACAAAUGCAACAGCAAAGCCUCGAUGAUGGCACAUCUGUUUACAGCAUGGUUUACUGUAUAUUUUAAGCCCACUGUUGAGAUCUACUGCUUGGGGGAGAAAAAGAUUCCUUUCAAAAUAUUACUGCUCAUUGAAAAUAUACCAGGUUACCCAAGAGCUCUGUGGGAGAUAUGCAGAGAUUAGCAUUGUUUUCAUGCUCGCUAACAAAUAUCCAUGCUGCAGCCAAGGAUCAAGGAGCCAUUCUGACGUUCAAAUCUUAACUAUUUCAAAAAUACACUUCAGGCUGGGGGAGGGGAGAACAAAAUGAAAGAAAGAAAGAAAAACACAUUUCAUAAGGCCAUAGCUCCCAUGGAUAGUGAUUCCUCUGAUAGAUCUGGGCAAAGUUAAUAGAAAACCUUCUGGAAAUGAUUCAGCUUUCUUGAUGCCACUAAGAACAUUCAGGAUCUCUGGAAGGAGAUCAAGGUAUCAACAUUAACACGAGUUAAAAAAAAUUGAUUCCAACUCUCAUGGAUGACUUUGAGGAGUUUGAGACUUCAGUGAAGGAAGUCGUGCAGAUGUGAUAGCUAGAAAAUUAGAAGUGGAGCCUGAAGAUGGAACUGAAUUGCCAUAAUCUCAUGAUCAAGCUUGAAUGAAUAGGAUUUGCUUCUUAUAAAUGAGCAAAGAAAGGGGUUUCCUGAGAUGGAAUCUACUCUUGUUGCAGAAGCUGUGAACAUUGUUGAAAUGACAAACGACUUAGAAUGUUACAUAAACAUAGCAGGGUUUGAGAGGAUUGACUCCUACUUUAAAAUGAGUUUGGCUGCCUCAUGCCUGUAAUCCCAGCACUUUGGAAGGCUGAGGCAGGCAGAUCACCUGAGGUCGGGAGUUCGAGACCAGUCUGGCCAACAUGGUGAAACCCCAUCUCUACUGAUAAUACAAAAAUAUUAGCCAGGUGUGGUGGCACAUGCCUGUAGUUCCAGCUACUCAGGAGGCUGAGGCAGGAGGAUCAUUUGAACCUGGGAGGCAAAAGUUGCAGUGAGCCGAGAUUGCACCAGUGCACUCCAGCCUGGGCAACAGAGCAAGACUUUAUCUCAAAAAAAGGAAAAAAAAGAAAAAGAAAAAAAAUGAGUUCUACUGUGAGUAAAAUGCUGUCAAACAGCAUCCCAUGCUACAGAGAGCUUUUUCAUGAAAGGGAGGGUCAAUCAAUGCAGCAAAGUUAAUUGGUGUUUUAUUUUAAGAAAUUGCCCCAGCCACCCAAACCCUCAGUACCCACCACACUGAUCGGGCAGCAGCCAUCAUCAAGGCAAGGAACUCCACCAGCAAAACGAUCAUGAAUUGCUGAAAGCUCAAAUGAUCAUCGGCUUUUCUUUCUGGCAAUAAAGCAUUUUUAGUGAAGGUAUGUACAUCUUUUAGACAUAAUUCUAUUACUUAAUACACUACAUACAGUGUGAGCACAACUUUUGCAUGUACCAGAAAACCAAAAAAAUGUGUGUGACUCAUCUGUUAUAUUUGUUUUAUUGCGAUGAUCUGGAGCCACGGCCAAAGUGUGUGCCUGUAAUGUGUAAGUGCCAGUAGAAAUUAGUUGUGCAGGCUUGCUAUUUUUUCCAUUUUUAUAUUUGAGUUAAUGGUAAUAUGCUAAGUAUCCAGUCUAUAAACUUCAGCAUUCCUUAGAAAUCCAGAAGAAACUUUUCUGGUUUUUUGUUUUGUUUUGUUUUGAGACGGAGUCUCGCUCUGUCACUCAGGCUGUGGUGCAAUCUCGGCUCACUGCAACCUCUGCCUCCCGGGUUCAAGUAAUUCCUCCACCUCAGCUUCCCGAGCAGCUGGGACUAAAGGCACUGGCCACCACGCCUGGCUCAUUUUUUUGGUGUAUUUUAGUAGAGAUGGGGUUUCAUCAUAUUGGGCAGGAUGGUCUUGAUCUCCUGACCUCGUGAUCCACCCGCCUCAGCUUCCCAAAGUUCUGGAAUUACAGGCAUGAACCACCUUGCCCAGCCCAGAGGAGACUUUUAAAUGCUGUUUCAUAGAUGAAAUGAAAGAGAAAAGAGGGCUUCAUGGUAAAGAUGACAUUAUGAAUAUAUCAAGGAGCUGAAUGGUCCUCUGUCCACAAACAGACAAUAAUCCACACAGCAUCACUACCGUGGCUCAUGCAUUAGCUCUGCACUGACCACAUGGAGCAGGGAGCCUCCUCCUGAUACCCCACAUACCUGAGGAGCUAAUGUUUCUUCCCAACAUGGAAAAUUUGGAAGAGGCAUAUUCUUCACAGCUGUUACUUCUCAUUUUGAAAGAAUGUGCCUGCCCUUAUUCCCAGGCAAGGUGUGAGGAGGUCUUUGGGUUCCAGCUGUUGCCAGCAGAGAUGGUGAAAGUCAGUAACAGGGCGGUGGACACUCAGAGAAAUGUGACUCACAGCUCUGGUUUGCAAAUUCAGUCUUUCAAGAAAUCCUGCAGUGUCCUAAAUGCCCAAAUCCCCUGCCUCCCAUGAUCCUUCUCUGCAAAGGACCUUCUACUGGACGCUGUCCCACCCUCCCCAGCCCCUUCAGGGCCCUCCCCUCUGUCCUCUUAGGCCAGAGCAGCCAGUAAGGCAUGUUUUUAUUCCACGAUCUGUACUCCAAGGAAUCCAUAAUCAUAGUUUCAAAUGUAUUUACUGAAAAUACUAACAUUAUCUGGAAUAAAUAAAUAAUAAAUAUUAUAUGCUUAGACAUUUUCAUUCCUAAGUAAACCCCACUAAGCCGAUUUUACUCCAUAUUCGGUGUUCUAGAAAACACAUCAUUUCUAAAUUUUUCAGCAUUCUUUCUGUAAUUGUACUUUACUAAAAUUGUUUGCAUUGGAGUAAACACUCUUCUUUCCAGAUUCUGUAGUAAAAAUGUGAUUUAUCAGCGUUUGUACCUAACUUUUAGCAAGCUUUCUUCUCCCACUGUGAAUGUUCCAUUGUGUUUUAUUCCUGAGUCCAACUUUUCUAGGUCAGCUUUGUCCAGAUGUAAAUUUUGGCAAGAAUACUCUGUUCUCCCAUCAAACUUUAGUUAUUUGUAAAAUUUACAAAGUACAAUUUAAACUACUGUGAUUUUAGUCAGUUUUAGGGUUGGUUAUUUCUAGCAAGUCUAAUGUUUCCCUUUUACAAGUCUUUAGCAUUUCUAAUUAGAUGUGUGUGUGUUUUUAAUCUAUAACAUAUUGCUGUGUGGGUUUAGCCACUCUGAGUUUUGUUUUGUUUUGUUUUGUUUGAGAUGGAGUCUUUCUCUGUCACCCGGGCUGGAGUGCAUCAGUGUGAUUCUGACCAUCUGCAUCUGCAUGCUCUCUCAUUUAUAAAAUGGGAAUGAUCAUAAUAAUAGUGCCCCUUUCAUAGGGUACCGUGAGGAUUAAGUGGGCUAAGACCUGGAAGCACUUAGCUCUGUGCCUAGCACAGAGUAUGUACCUAAUAAAUCAUUCAAGUUCAAAUUCCUGGCACCAAAGGCCAUUCAUGACUGCCCUCUCCCCCACCCCCCAUGCCUCUCUACACUUAUCUCCCAUCAGGCUGCGUCCACCUUCACAUAGACGACUCCCCCACCUAGAAUCCCCUCCCACUCUCCUCCAUCUACCACCAGCCUCAGGCUUCACUCUAGCUAACGAUGCCUGUUUCUCCUCUAAAAUGCAACUCACUUUCAUUCCAUAGACAGCACCUUCCUGGGCUUCCUCUCCCUGCCUUAGUUGCCACUCUGCCCCUCCCCUACCCCAUCUUGAGGGCUUUUGCAGUGUCUUUUUCAAUGUCUACAGUCUAAUCAGUGACCAACAGAGUCAGCUGAAUAACUGAGCAUGCUCAAACGUCCCUUCUCUACCGAAACAUCUUCGUGUCCCACCAACGCCCCUGCCUUCUUCUCUUCUUCCCAGUCACUUCCUGAGGAUUGUCCCCAUCACUCCCAAGUGAAACACUUCGUUCUACACCCUCAGACUGUUACUAUGUCCCAAAAAACAGUGGAAGAAAAAACACCCACUGAAACCUGCAAAUCCAUGAAAAAAAAAAAAAAAAGGAAAUGUUCACACUCAACAAUUGCCCUGUUUAAAAUCCUUUUGUCGCAUCUUACCCUUGUUAUAAGAUCUCAAAGCCUCACUGUGGCUGUAUGAAUCCUCCAUGCCCUGGCCUCUGCCCAUCCCUCCAGGCUUAUUUCAUGUCCCUUGACCCCUUGCUCCCAGCAAUUUGGCCACAUAAGGCUUCUCCAGUCCUCAGAUACAUGAAGCUCCCUACUACCUGUUGGUGUUUGCCCACAUUUUCCCUGCUUAUUGAAACCCUUCCUGGUCUCCACACUUCUAUUGGCUAAAUGAUGCUUAUUCUUAAACAUGACUCAGGCGGCUGAGUGCAGUGGCUCACACCUGUAAUUCCCAGCACUUUGGGAAGCCGAAGCAGGUGAAUCACCUGAGCUCAGGAGUUUGAGACCAGCCUGACCAACAUGGUGAAACCCCAUCUCUACUAAAAAUGCAAUUCUCACAUCUGAUAGAAUAGAUUUCAAAGCAACAAAGAUAUAGUGGUAAAAGGAUCAAUGCAACAAUAAGAGCUAAUGAUCCUAACACCCAGAUACAUAAGACCCAUAAAGAGACUUAGACUCAACAAGACAGAAAAUUGAUGAGGACAACCAGGACUUGAACUCAGAUCUGGAACAAAUAAACUUGAUAGAUAUUUAUAGAGCUCUCCAUUUUAAAUACACAAAAUAUACAUUCUCCACUUUAAAUACACAAAAUAUUGAUCGGCCAUUAUUAAUACCCACAUUUAGAAUAAAGCAACAUUCCCAUUCUCUCUCCCUCUUUUUUUCCUCCUUCUUCCUCUCCUUCACUCCUGUUUUUUCUUUCUUUUCUCCUAAAAAUAAAAAUAAAAAAAGAAAAAGAAAAAUCAGAACAACAGGGAGAUUAAGUGUAGGUUCUAAUAAACACCUUUAUUGAUAUAUACUUCAUAUAUCAUAAAAUUCACCCAUUUAAAGUGUAAAAAGUAGGCCAGCCAUCGUGGCUCACACCUACAAUCCCAGCACUUUGGGAGGCUGAGGCAGGUGGAUUACCUGAGGUCAGGAGUUUGAGAUCAGCGUGGCCAACACGGUGAAACCUUGUCUCUACAAAAAACAAAACAAAACAAAUAACAAAAAAUAGCCAGGCAUGGUGGUGGGUGCCUGGUAAUCCCAGCCACUCAUGAGGCAGAGAUAGGAGAAUCACUUGAACCCAGGAGGCAGAUUUUACAGUGAGCCAAGGUCACACCAUUUUACUCCAGCCAGGGCAACAAAAGAGAAAAUCCAUCUCAAAUAAAUAAAGUGUAAAAAUAAAUUGAUAAUGUUUUUGUUUCCUGCUUAAAAUUACAAACUCUUUUGUAGACUAUCAACCUUUGAUAGUCCUCAAUAAUUUGAUCUUAAUCAAAUUAUUGAGAAAAUGAUAAUACCUUGUAAUUCUUACACUAACAUUUGUAAGAUUCCAUUCUACUUUAAUAAUUUCCAUUGCUCAACUUCUUCAUUUCAGCAACUGUGAUUAUUUUAAUUUAAAAAAUAAAAUAAAAAUAAAAAUGCAAAAAUUAGCCGGGUGUGGUGGCGGGCGCCUGCAGUCCCAGCUACUUGGGAAGCUGAGGCAGGAGAAUUGCUUGAAGCAGGAAGGUGGAGGUUGCAGUGAGCUGAGAUCAUGCCAUUGCACUCCAGCCUGGGCAACAGAGCAAGACCAUCUCAAAAAAAGAAAAUAAAAAAGAAAAAAAGAGGGAAAGAUAGAAAAGGAAGGAAGGAAGGAGAAUGAACGAGAGAGAGAAGAAAGAAGGAAGGAACGAAGUAAGGAAUGAAGAAGGAAAGGGGGAGGGAAAAGAGAGAGAGAAAGACAAAAGAAGGGAAGGAGGGAGGGAGGGAGGCAUCUGAAGCUUAGGAAUGUGGGCUAAAAUAAAUUCAUUCACAGGUUUGGUGGUUAGAAGCUGAAGGUGUUUCCAACUUAUGGCUUCCAAGCUAUUGAUACGGAAGUGGUGAGGCCUCAGGUUUAAGAAGUGUGAUGGGUCUGAAAUAACAAAAUAUGAUGAUUUUAAAAAAUAAAACGAAAUGGAUGAAAGAAACAGGACAGCUGGGCAGUAAUCAGGUUGCUAUACAAAGUAAAUGAGACAAUGUAUGGAAAGAGCAUGGCACUUUAUAAACACUCAUUUCCUUCUCCCUCCUACUGCCACCUUAAAUGGAAGAAAUUGUCUCGCUGAUAUUUGCAUCAUCUAUCAUUGCACAUACUUCAUAUUCCUUUUUUGUUGAACUGGUUCUAAAUCUUCACACAUAUAGGUCAGAUACAUUUUUAGAGUUGGACUGAAUCACUUCCUUUCUGCAGAACUUUGCUGUUAUUGCUGGUACAGCAAGAAAAAUGGUAGCUCUUGCUACUGGACUAACUAAACCUCAGAGAACCUGAAUCCUCCAGCCGGGAAAAAGUGUGAUGAACUUUGCAUGUCAUUCUGUCUGUCUCCAAGUCUUGAUAUCCCUACCUAUUAAACUGGGAUAUGACACUCACCAAACCUACAAAACAAUCACCAACAUGAUGAACAGAGCUUUUUAAACAGCAGAGCAUACAAUCUCAAAGGCUGCACAAAUUGAUGAAACGCUUUGGAGAAGCAAUUUUUCACAGUAUCAAGAACCAUAAAAAUGGUCAAACCUAUUGACCUCGGCAGCUCGUUUCCAGAAAUAUAUUCUAUCCGUUUUCUAUCAGUCCACCCAACAUAUGCCCAUGGAUGGCACAUUUCUAAACUUUGGACUAACGCCUGUAUGAGCUAGGAUUCGAGUCACAUGCAGUCCCUGUUUUGUUGCCAGUCAACAAGAUACAGCCCAGUGAAGGAAGUUAUUCUAGGAAUCAUCUGAAUUAAGUAAAUGAUUCACCAAAUACAGUAUUUCACUUAUUAAUAAAGUGGUUGCGAGCUCCACAGCCCACCAAGACAAGCAGUGAAGACUUGGCAUUCAAGUUGAGAACUGCCAUCCUUACAAAAUAACUCAGAGGAAUGAAGAAUUGCAUAUACCUCCGAAUUAGGCUGAUAGGCAGUAAUGACAGUCACAAUGUCAGCUCUUUCCUAUCCAUUCUCUCACUGCCUCCUCAUGAAAAUCCUGUGAGGUAGACAAAAGGGAUUUACACCUUCUGUGCUCCAGGUAGAACCAUGGGGUUAUGUUCACCUGAAAUAAGUUGACAGCCAACAGGCAUGAUGGAUAGAGCACUGUUAUCUUUUUCUUUAUUUCUUCUAAAAAAAUGGGAUACUUGGUGGAACAGGCAUGUUUGUUGCAUAGGUAUACAUGUGCCAUGGCAGUUUCCUGCACCUGUUGGCCUGUCCCCUAAGUUCCGUCCCCCAACCCCCCAACCCCCAACAGGCCCUAAUGUGUACUGUUCCCCUAUCUUUGUCCAUAUGUUCUCAGUGUUCAACUCCAACUUAUGAGUAAGAACAUGUGAGAUGUGGUUUUCUGUUCCUGUAUUAGUUUGCUGAGGAUGAUGGUUUCCAGCUUUAUCCAUGUCACCACAAAGGACAUGACCUCAUUCCUUUAUAUGGCUGCAUAAUAUUCCAUGGUGUAUAUGUACCACAUGUUCUUUAUCCAGCCUAUCAUUGAUGGGCAUUUGGGUUGGUUCCAAGUCUUUGCUAUUGUAAACAGUGCUGCAAUAAAUAUAUGUAUGCAUGCUUCUU